rnacentral:rRNA from 1 species
UGGGGAAUUUUGGACAAUGGGGGCAACCCUGAUCCAGCCAUGCCGCGUGAGUGAAGAAGGCCUUCGGGUUGUAAAGCUCUUUCAGCCGGGAAGAAAACGCAUGGGUUAAUACCCUGUGUGGAUGACGGUACCGGAAUAAGAAGCACCGGCUAACUACGUGCCAGCAGCCGCGGUAAUACGUAGGGUGCGAGCGUUAAUCGGAAUUACUGGGCGUAAAGCGUGCGCAGGCGGUUUUGUAAGACAGGCGUGAAAUCCCCGGGCUCAACCUGGGAACUGCGUUUGUGACUGCAAGGCUAGAGUAUGGCAGAGGGGGGUGGAAUUCCACGUGUAGCAGUGAAAUGCGUAGAGAUGUGGAGGAACACCGAUGGCGAAGGCAGCCCCCUGGGCCAAUACUGACGCUCAUGCACGAAAGCGUGGGUAGCAAACAGGAUUAGAUACCCUGGUAGUCCACGCCCUAAACGAUGUCAACUAGGUGUUGGGUGGGUAAAACCAUUUAGUACCGGAGCUAACGCG